GUCUGUUCGACAAAAACAUCGCUUUUUGUAUUGUAUAAAAAGUAAGACCUGCCCACUGUAAAUAAAGGUCCGCGGUAUAUUGACCGUGCAAAGGUAGCAUAAUCAUUAGUCUUUUAAUUGAGGGCUGGAAUGAAUGGUUAGAUAAAAUAAUAGCUGUCUCUUAUAGAUUAAAAAAAAAUUAAAAUUUUAGUUAAAAAGCUAAAAUAAUUGUAAAAGACGAGAAGACCCUAUAGAUCUUUAUAAAUUUUAUUUGAUUAUAAUAGAUGAAAUUAAUAGUUUAAAAAGAUUUUCAUUCCCACGUAUAAAUAAUAUAAGUUUUUGAUUAUUACCGCCUUCUCUUACACUACUUUUAGCCAGCAGUAUAGUAGA
rnacentral:rRNA from 1 species